GAUGAACGCUGGCGGCGUGCCUAAUACAUGCAAGUCGAGCGAACGGACGAGAAGCUUGCUUUUCUGAUGUUAGCGGCGGACGGGUGAGUAACACGUGGAUAACCUACCUAUAAGACUGGGAUAACUUCGGGAAACCGGAGCUACUACCGGAUAAUAUUUUGAACCGCAUGGUUCAAAAGUGAAAGACGGUCUUGCUGUCACUUAUAGAUGGAUCCGCGCUGCAUUAGCUAGUUGGUAAGGUAACGGCUUACCAAGGCAACGAUGCAUAGCCGACCUGAGAGGGUGAUCGGCCACACGGGAACUGAGACACGGUCCAGACUCCUACGGGAGGCAGCAGUAGGGAAGCUUCCGCAAUGGGCGAAAGCCUGACGGAGCAACGCCGCGUGAGUGAUGAAGGUCUUCGGAUCGUAAAACUCUGUUAUUAGGGAAGAACAUAUGUGUAAGUAACUGUGCACAUCUUGACGGUACCUAAUCAGAAAGCCACGGCUAACUACGCG
rnacentral:rRNA from 1 species